rnacentral:rRNA from 1 species
GACGAACGCUGGCGGCGUGCUUAACACAUGCAAGUCGAACGGAAAGGCCCUGCUUUUGUGGGGUGCUCGAGUGGCGAACGGGUGAGUAACACGUGAGUAACCUGCCCUAGACUUUGGGAUAACUUCAGGAAACUGGGGCUAAUACCGGAUAGGAGCUCCUGCUGCAUGGUGGGGGUUGGAAAGUUUCGGCGGUUGGGGAUGGACUCGCGGCUUAUGAGCUUGUUGGUGGGGUAGUGGCUUACCAAGGCUUUGACGGGUAGCCGGCCUGAGAGGGUGACCGGCCACAUUGGGCCUGAGGUACGCCCCAGACUCCUACGGGAGGCAGCAGGGGGAAAUAUUGCACAAUGGGCGGAAGCCUGAUGCAGCAACGCCGCGUGCGGAAUGACGGCCUUCGGGUUGUAAACCGCUUUCGCCUGUGACGAAGCGUGAGUGACGGUAAUGGGUAAAGAAGCACCGGCUAACUACGUG